UCUACCAUACCUGCAUAGAUCGAUUUGAAUAUAUCGACUGUAUCUUUAUAGAUCACCUUAAAUAAAUCGCAUGGGCCACAUCCAACAUUCUCCCACUUGGUCUAGUGAUAUAUUUAUUACCAUAUAUAUAUAUAUAUAUAACUUAAUGUAAGGAUGUUAAAUUACGUCCGUCCAUCAAGACCGUAUCCAGAUACAUCCUAACCGUUAGAUCUACCAUACCUGCAUAGAUCGAUUUGAAUAUAUGGACUGUAUCUUUAUAGAUCACCUUAAAUAAAUCGCAUGGGCCACAUCCAACAUUCUCCCACUUGGUCUAGUGAUAUAUUUAUUACCAUAUAGGCGAUACAAAAUUUUGUUAGGUACCAACUAAAUUAUACAGUUAAAAUCUCCCACUCAACUAAGGAAUCACAAUUCUUUGAUCAUAGCGGUUAUGUCCCAAUAGAUGAACACUCCAUUCCAUGUAUCAAAGGUACGUAUUCCUUAAUCAAAUAACUUUUAUGAACUACAACCGUAUGAACUUGUUAUAAGUUCAACUCAGAGUCCCACUUUAGUGCACAAUAAUAUUUUAAUGUACAAAAGAUAACUUUAUGCGUAUAGGUGCAAAAAUCAAAAUACGU
rnacentral:lncRNA from 1 species